UACGUACCGUACGAACGUUAUUCGGAAUCACUGGGCUUAAAGGGCGCGUAGGCGGGCUGUCAAGUCUGGGGUGAAAUCCCGCGGCUCAACCGUGGAACUGCCUCAGAUACUGACGGCCUCGAGGGAGAUAGGGGCGAGCGGAACUAAUGGUGGAGCGGUGAAAUGCGUUGAUAUCAUUAGGAACUCCGGUGGCGAAGGCGGCUCGCUGGAUCUUUUCUGACGCUGAGGCGCGAAAGCUAGGGGAGCAAACGGG
rnacentral:rRNA from 1 species